GAUUACUGGUGGCCCGGAGGCCUUUCC
rnacentral:sRNA from 1 species